UACGUAGGGUGCAAGCGUUGUCCGGAAUUAUUGGCGUAAGAGCUCGUAGGCGGUUUGUCGCGUCUGCUGUGAAAACUGGAGGCUCAACCUCCAGCCUGCAGUGGGUACGGGCAGACUAGAGUUCGGCAGGGGAGACUGGAAUUCCUGGUGUAGCGGUGAAAUGCGCAGAUAUCAGGAGGAACACCGGUGGCGAAGGCGGGUCUCUGGGCCGAUACUGACGCUGGAGGAGCGAAAGCCGUGGGGAGCAAACAGG
rnacentral:rRNA from 1 species